UACGUAGGGACCGAGCGUUGUCCGGAUUCAUUGGGCGUAAAGAGCUCGUAGGCGGCCACUCAAGUCGAAUGUGAAACCUCGAGGCUUAACCUCGAGCCUGCAUUCGAUACUGGGCGGCUAGAGUCGUGGUAGGGGGAUCUGGAAUUCCUGGUGUAGCGGUGGAAUGCGCAGAUAUCAGGAGGAACACCGGUGGCGAAGGCGGGAUCCUGGGCCAGUACUGACGCUGAGGAGCGAAAGCGUGGGGAGCAAAGCAGGG
rnacentral:rRNA from 1 species